rnacentral:misc_RNA from 1 species
ACCAGUUAGGGUUUCUACCUAACACUGUUCUAUUUUGUUGAGUGUAUGAUGGGAACCUCUCCUUUUGUUAAGCUCCAACUUGUAGUUCUCUGCAUAGAUGCGAAGAAUCCGAGAGUUGUACCUAAAACACAACGAAGUUUCACUCACUCGCAUUGAGAGGCAAAUAAUUCAUUGUUUUUCCAAGCUUUUUUGAAAAGAAAACAUCUUUCUACUAGAUAUGUUCAUAGUUCUGCACCUACUUUGCCUGUCAAAAUACCAGGCUUAGACAAUGGUUUUUCCUUCUAAGCCAAGCUAUCCCAACUGACCAAAGCCCUAUUAAUACUUGAGCUGGCCUUGGGCCUGCAAAAGAGAGCAUGCAUAUAUUCAUUUUGUACAUAUUUUAUUUAUAUGGUCUGGGCUUGAAAUUCCAAACUUGAAAGUUCAUGCAAGCCUAGGGCUCAGGCCUACGUUAUAAAACCCCAACCACACUUGGGCUCAGCCUGACCUGAUAAAUAAGGAGGCUUGCCAUUUAUAAAGCAUCUUCUUUUCAUCAAAAUUUUGAGUGUUAAAAUCGUUUCCCACUUAGUCUCCCAAGAAAAGAAGGAUAAUUUUGAAGGCACUUUAGUUUUCUUGGAAAAUUGCUUGUUUUCAAUUAUAGGUGGGGUUCAUGGGCACGACAGCCAGGCCUUUCUUCUAAAAACCAACAAAAAAAGGCUCUCGCCUGGCACCUCUUGUCUUUCCAGAGAAAUUUUGUUGUGAGAUUAACACAGAAUUCCCCCUUGUUCAUCAACACAAAUAAAAUUUUAUCUUCCCACCAAAAAUGCAGUGCAUUCUCCAGCGAAGUUUAAAACAGAUACUAUAUUGCCCCUACUACUGCCUGUUCUGCAUGCUCCCAUUUAGAAGUUGGAUAUCAUUUAGCUUGGCCUAUUAAGAGUUUGUGGAUUGCAUUUGGAACUUACGCAACACAUUAUACCAUUGUUAAAAUGCUCAUUUCUUAUUUUAACAGUUAUUAAAAUGCUUAAGAUAGUCUUAUAUGUUGCCUUCUGUAAGCUUCAUUUUCUAUUAUUUAUUCCUAUUAAGAUUUUGUGGAUUGCAUUUGAACUUACGCAUCACUCCAACACAUUACACCAUUGUUAAAAUGCUCAUUUCUUAUUUUAACAGUUAUUAAAAUGCUUAAGAUAGUCUUAUAUGUUGCCUUCUGUAAGCUUCAUUUUCUAUUAUUUAUUCCUAUUAAGAUUUUGUGGAUUGCAUUUGAACUUACGCAUCACUCCAACACAUUAC